rnacentral:rRNA from 1 species
UACGUAGGGAGCAAGCGUUGUCCGGAAUCAUUGGGCGUAAAGCGCGCGUAGGUGGCUUAGUAAGUCCGUUGUGAAAGUCAAAGGCUCAACCUUUGAAAGCCGAUGGAUACUGUGAAGCUAGAGUACGGAAGAGGCGAGUGGAAUUCCUGGUGUAGCGGUGGAAUGCGCAGAUAUCAGGAGGAACACCAAUAGCGAAGGCAGCUCGCUGGGACGUUACUGACACUGAGGCGCGAAAGCGUGGGGAGCGAACAGG